rnacentral:tRNA from 1 species
GCCCUUAUAGUUUAAUGGCAGAACAUAGCAAUGGUAAUGCUAAAAUACAAGUUCAAUUCUUGUUAAGGGCACCA